UUCGGGAACUGAGUAAAGCGGCGCACGGGUGAGUAACACGUAGGUAACCUGCCCCAUAGUCGGGAAUAACCCGGGGAAACUCGGGCUAAUGCCGGAUGAGACCACAGCCGUUUCGACGGCAGCGGCCAAAGGCGGCCUCUACAUGUAAGCUGUCGCUAUGGGAUGGGCCUGCGGCCCAUUAGCUUGUUGGUGAGGUAACGGCUCACCAAGGCUGUGAUGGGUAGCUGGUCUGAGAGGAUGGCCAGCCACACUGGGACUGAGACACGGCCCAGACUCCUACGGGAGGCAGCAGUGGGGAAUAUUGCGCAAUGGGGGAAACCCUGACGCAGCGACGCCGCGUGGGUGAUGAAGGCCUUCGGGUCGUAAAGCCCUGUCGUAGGGGAAGAAAUGGAGCGUGGCUAAUACCCUCGUUCCUUGACGGUACCCUACAAGAAAGCACCGGCUAACUCCGUGCCAGCAGCCGCGGUAAUACGGAGGGUGCAAGCGUUGUU
rnacentral:rRNA from 1 species